rnacentral:tRNA from 1 species
GGAAGGUUCGCAUAAUGGUAUUGCAGCAGCUUGGAAAGCUGUAGACACCUAGGUAGGGUCUUGUGGGUUCGAGUCCCACACCUUCCU